AGUGAACGCUGGCGGUAGGCCUAACACAUGCAAGUCGAACGGCAGCACAGUAAGAGCUUGCUCUUACGGGUGGCGAGUGGCGGACGGGUGAGGAAUACAUCGGAAUCUACUUUUUCGUGGGGGAUAACGUAGGGAAACUUACGCUAAUACCGCAUACGACCUACGGGUGAAAGCAGGGGAUCUUCGGACCUUGCGCGAUUGAAUGAGCCGAUGUCGGAUUAGCUAGUUGGCGGGGUAAAGGCCCACCAAGGCGACGAUCCGUAGCUGGUCUGAGAGGAUGAUCAGCCACACUGGAACUGAGACACGGUCCAGACUCCUACGGGAGGCAGCAGUGGGGAAUAUUGGACAAUGGGCGCAAGCCUGAUCCAGCCAUACCGCGUGGGUGAAGAAGGCCUUCGGGUUGUAAAGCCCUUUUGUUGGGAAAGAAAAGCAGCAGGUUAAUACCCCGCUGUGCUGACGGUACCCAAAGAAUAAGCACCGGCUAACUUC
rnacentral:rRNA from 1 species